AGCUCCAAUAGUGUAUAUUAAAGUUGUUGCGGUUAAAAAGCUCGUAGUUGGACUUGGGAAGGAGGGAACUACGGUACUCUAAGGAGAUACCGGUUCACCUCAUCCUUUUAUUUAAGGGAAUGUUUUAAUGGAAACUAAUACUUUCCUAUUCUCUUUUUAUUACUUUGAAAAAAUUAGGGUGUUCAAAUCAGGCAUUAAUCCGCCUUGAAUACAUUAGCAUGGGACAAUAGAAUAUGACCUUUUCCGUCUUGUCCUCGGAUUUAGGUAAUGAUUAAUAGGAACGAUUGAGGUGGCUUGUACUUAAGGGCGAGAGGUGAAAUUCUAUGACCCCUUAAAGACAAACAAAUGCGAAGGCAUUCCACAAGGAUGUUUUCAUUG
rnacentral:rRNA from 1 species